GCAUGGGUUUGGAUUUAUGACAGGCCUGUCCUCCUGGACCUCUCCUAGUGCCUCAUGCCAGAGCAGGCUGUGGCCCCAAACCAUUGCCAGGCUUCUGUGCCCAGAGACUGCUGGCACUGAAGCAGAUUGCACAGUG
rnacentral:snoRNA from 1 species